GUUAUCUGUGCUGCCACUCAGUGGCUUUACCAUAAUAGCACCUUUUCAGCUUUUUCCCAUUUGAGAGCACCCUUAUCAAUAGCCAAGGCAAAACUGGAUGUGCCAAGAGGCAACUGGCCUCUUGAACUGUGGCGUAAUCCCCAUUCUAUUGAAUGUUAGGUGUGUUAAUAUGGAGGUUCCGCUGCAUGUUCCUGUUUAAUUGCACAUAAAAAGAAGAAAGGCAUCCAGAAGGGAGAAACAAUUGCCUAAGGUGAAGAGCAGAAUGACAGAGCUGUUCAUUUCUUAAGACUACCUACCUUGUGGAGCCAACUCUGGUAAAAGUGCAUGUCGGAUAAGAAGUGCAAGUUUCGGGGUGACCUUCCUGACCCAGGGAUCCAACCCAAGUCUCCUGCAUUGGCAGACAGAUUCUCACCACUGUGCCGCCUGGGAAGCCCAACACUGGGCAUAAGAUAAGCAUUUUGCAUAAAUCAUAUAGAAUAAAGUUAAAUAAAAUAGCUACAUUAUUCAAGAGUGGUUAAAGAUCCUUUCAUUGGACUUAAGUCCACUUGAAGUCAUUGUUCACAGCUUUUGAUGUUCAAGCCUAUCUCAAAAAUCUUU
ensembl:lncRNA